rnacentral:misc_RNA from 1 species
UAGGGAGACCUAACUUCGGUUGAGCUAACCCCAAUUUACAAGCCAACUGAGGUCAUCCCAGGUCGUGCGAGGAAUUGAGUAAUUACUAGGCUUUCAAACUUUCGGUUCGGACUAUAAAGACAGUUACACAAGCAAUUUAGAACGCUAUAUCUAAAGUGCAGCACCUAAAAUUCCAAGAAAAAAGGGUUUAGGAUGCUGGACGAAAGUUCAGUCAGAACCUGGAAAACUGCAUAGAGAAUCAGGCAAAAGGUAAGACCGUAACAGACUUUUCAAAUGAGA